UUUUAUUCAUCAGAAGCCAUCUUACUUCUCCGGAUGCAUGUCUCCCUCGUGCGUUCCUGUACACGAAGAGUACUCCCGCAUUGACAUUGGCGACCGUGGCAGCAAUGGAAGAAGCAGCAGGAGAUUGAAAAGGCUGAUUAAGAAGCUUAUGAGUGAGAGCAAGAGCAUUUACGGGUCCAAACCUACAAGAUUCCAUUAUGAUGCCGUUAGCUACUCGCAGAAUUUUGAUGAGGGAUGCCACAAAGAUGAAUAUCCAAGGUGCCAGCAAGUGUUUCAAGAAUUUAGAUGCCAUGUACAGCACAAGUAAUUUUGAUUUCUGUUUAUUUUGAUUUCUUCGACUGGAUUGCUUAGAUAUACUACUGUUAUUUAAUAUCCUCUAGGUAGCUAGGAGCCCGGGAUAGCUCUUAGAUAUACUACUGUUAUUUAAUAUCCUCUAGGUAGCUAGGAGCCCGGGAUAGCUCUGAUUGAGUUGGAACUACGAAGCAUAUGUAUUUUCAGUCUAAUUAUUAGGGUCUGAUAAUAAUUGCGGGGGUCUCAUGCUUACAGUCAUAAUCUUGUGGACGUUUUACAAAAUUUGGGAGAAUUAAUCUCCCAGAGCGAUGAAACCGUUGGUGUACAAUAUGGAAGAUUGCCAAAUAAAAAAAAAAGGUGAAAUGGAAGCAAUGCUAGUUUUUGCACAACCUUUAGUUCUUGGUAUAUUCAAAAAGCAUUCAGCCAUCAAAACUACCAGCUGUUGUCACUUACACUUACACUUGGACUUGCUGUUGAAUGGAGUUGGGCCAUCCAAUUAUAAGGCUGGGAGUGGGGCAUCAUUGGUAGACGACUUGGAGAGAAAUCCCAUAUCUUUGGUAGACGACUUGGAGAGAAAAGAUACAAAGGACUUGAGACUAUCAUGGGGCAUCAUUGGAUUGACUAUGAUUAACGAAUUCGAGCACCCUCUACCCUGUCUACGCAUGUUGGUCGCUUCCGGAUAUGAUAUUUUCUGGAAACCAAUAAACUUAAUAAAACUAGUUUCUAAGUAGUAGUAAUUUUGCAGUAUAACGGUAUUGUGCUAUGGUGGUUGUCAUUUGUCAAUGGGGAAUCAAUUGCUGAGUUGCUGCAAGUAGUCUGCGAUGAAAUCUUAGACUGGCUAAUUUCCAACAUCAGUACAUGUGAGGGUGGUGAUUUUGGGAUGUAAAUUUUGAGGGAUGCCACGCAAGGGAAUAUAUAAGAAGACUAAACUUGCUUAAGAAUAAUACUAUGUCAGACCUUCAAUACUCGUACUUGACGCUUUCCCAAUGUAUUCUUUCGCCUCAUACAACAUCUUUGGUUGGGUAGUCGAUCAUUGGCCACAAUCUGAAU
rnacentral:lncRNA from 1 species